rnacentral:rRNA from 1 species
CUACGGGGGGCACCAGUGGGGAAUAUUGGACAAUGGGGGAAACCCCGAUCCAGCAAUGCCGCGUGUGUGAAGAAGGCCUGCGGGUUGUAAAGCACUUUCGGUUGGGAGGACUGCUUCUAGCACUAAUAUUGUUGGAAGUUGACGUUACCUUCAGAAGAAGCACCGGCUAACUCCGUGCCAGCAGCCGCGGUGAAUACGGAGGGUGCAAGCGUUAAUCGGAAUUACUGGGCGUAAAGCGCGCGUAGGCGGCUAGAUCAGUCGGGUGUGAAAGCCCCGGGCUUAACCUGGGAACUGCAUCCGAUACUGUCUAGCUUGAGUACAGGAGAGGAGAGUGGAAUUCCACAUGUAGCGGUGAAAUGCGUAGAUAUGUGGAGGAACACCAAUGGCGAAGGCAGCUCUCUGGCCUGAUACUGACGCUGAGGUGCGAAAGCGUGGGGAGCAAACAGGAUUAGAUACCCUUGUAGUC